rnacentral:rRNA from 1 species
CUACUGGGGUAUCUAAUCCUGUUUGCUCCCCACACUUUCGCACCUCAGCGUCAGUAUCGAGCCAGUGAGCCGCCUUCGCCACUGGUGUUCCUCCGAAUAUCUACGAAUUUCACCUCUACACUCGGAAUUCCACUCACCUCCCUCGAACUCCAGACAUCCAGUAUCAAAGGCAGUUCCGGGGUUGAGCCCCGGGAUUUCACCUCUGACUUAAAUAUCCGCCUACGCGCGCUUUACUCCCACUAAUUCCGAACAACGCUAGUCCCCUCCGUAUUACCGCGGCGGCUGGCAC